UAGGGAAUCUUCCGCAAUGGACGAAAGUCUGACGGAGCAACGCCGCGUGAGUGAAGAAGGAUUUCGGUUCGUAAAACUCUGUUGUUAGGGAAGAAAAAAUGUAUAGUAACUAUAUACAAAAGAGACGGUACCUAACCAGAAAGCCACGGCUAACUACGUGCCAGCAGCCGCGGUAAUACGUAGGUGGCAAGCGUUGUCCGGAAUUAUUGGGCGUAAAGCGCGCGCAGGUGGUUUAGAAAGUCUGAUGUGAAAGCCCACGGCUCAACCGUGGAGGGUCAUUGGAAACUAAUAAACUUGAGUGCAGGAGAGAAAAGUGGAAUUCCUAGUGUAGCGGUGAAAUGCGUAGAGAUUAGGAGGAACACCGGUGGCGAACGCGGCUUUUUGGCCUGCAACUGACACUGAGGCGCGAAAGCGUGGGGAGCAAACAGG
rnacentral:rRNA from 1 species